rnacentral:misc_RNA from 1 species
AACGCACAUUGCGCCCGCCGGCACCCCGGCGGGCAUGCCCGUCCGAGCGUCGUCUCCACCCGUCAAGCCCAGCUUGCGCUGGGGCCCCGCGGCCGCCGCGGGCCCCGAAAGACAGCGGCGGGACCGCCGCCGCGCCGAGCGCAGUAACGCGCCUCGCUCCGGCGCGGCGGCGGCCUCCGGCCCACAGAGCCGCGACCCAGCACCGUCGACCUCGGAUCGGGUAGGAAUACCCGCUGAACUUAA